rnacentral:rRNA from 1 species
GACGAACGCUGGCGGCGUGCCUAAUACAUGCAAGUAGAACGCACAGUUUAUACCGUAGCUUGCUACACCAUAGACUGUGAGUUGCGAACGGGUGAGUAACGCGUAGGUAACCUGCCUGGUAGCGGGGGAUAACUAUUGGAAACGAUAGCUAAUACCGCAUAAUAUUAAUUAUUGCAUGAUAAUUAAUUGAAAGGUGCAAUUGCACCACUACCAGAUGGACCUGCGUUGUAUUAGCUAGUAGGUGAGGUAACGGCUCACCUAGGCGACGAUACAUAGCCGACCUGAGAGGGUGAUCGGCCACACUGGGACUGAGACACGGCCCAGACUCCUACGGGAGGCAGCAGUAGGGAAUCUUCGGCAAUGGACGAAAGUCUGACCGAGCAACGCCGCGUGAGUGAAGAAGGUUUUCGGAUCGUAAAGCUCUGUUGUAAGAGAAGAACGGGCGUGAGAGUGGAAAGUUCACACUGUGACGGUAUCUUACCAGAAAGGGACGGCUAACUACGUG